AUGGCGGCCGUGGCGCCUACCCACGACAACCUCGACCCCCCGCCGUCCACUCCUCCAAACACGGCAACCCCACCUCAGGCCACCGCCACGUCCACCCCGCCGAACCCGGCAACCCCUAAUCCCCCGGCCUCCAAUCCCACGAUGUCAAGCCCUAACCCUAACCCCGUCCCCGCCCCCGCCCCCGCCCCUCCGGUCGUCCUGCCGCCGAUGCCCCCUGCUCCGGUAUCCUUCGCCCCUUCCUUCCGGCCGCUGGGUGCACCGCCCCCGCCGCAGGUGCAGCAGUACGGUGCUAUACGUAAUCCGGGCUACCUGAUGGGACAGCCGAUGCAGCCGCCAGGCGUGCACCACGUGAUGCGUCCGCCGAACAUGUACGCGCCCCAGCCGGGUCCGUACAUGCAGCAGCCGGGCGUCGCCGUUCCUCCCGAUGUUUGUUUGUUUCUCUCUUCAGGUGUGCAUCGUUAUCCUGGACCAUACACUAUGAUGCGUCCAUGUUUUCCUCCACGCCCAAUGCCUCCUGUUGGUGUUGUGCAAGUUCAACGGCCAGCAACAAUUCCUGGAAUUCGUGGUGCUCCUCCUAUGGUAGCCCCUCCUGCCAGACCGCCUGCUCCAGCUGUCACACCCGUUGACAAACCACCAACUGCAGUUUAUGUCGGGAAGAUCGCCCCAACAGUGGACAAUGGUUUGCUUCUUUCACUUCUUCGGAUUUGUGGACCUGUCAAGAGUUGGAAGCGCACCCAAAAUCCAAGUAAUGGCAAACCAGUAGCGUUUGGCUUUUGUGAGUUUGAAUCUGCUGAAGGCAUCCUUCGUGCGACGCGGUUGCUGAACAGAUUGAGCGUUGAUGGGCAAGAACUGGUGGUUAAUAUUAAUGAUGCCACCAAAGAGUACCUGAAGAAACAUGUUGAAGAAAAGAAGAAGGUACAUGAGAACACCAAAAAGGAGGAAGAUGAAGGUGGGGAUGGGACUUCUGCUGUUGCUGAAAAUGAAUCAUUGAAGCUUGUUUCUGGUAAAACAGAUGAAACAGAAGAUUCCGGAGAUAAGGAUAGUGAAGAAAACACCAAGAAAUUUGGGAUUGUUACAAAUGAAGAUUCUGAGGCUGAUAAGGCUGCUGCAGAACUAAUAAACAGUAUUAUUGAAGAGUGGUUAAAGACUCGACCCCUGCCGCCGCCACCACCACCCCCGCCGGUUCAACCAUCUGCUGACAUCUCAUCCAAACAUAAUAACGGGGAGUCUGUUGUCGACAUGGCAAUGACUGAUUCUGAAGAUAAUGAUGAUUGUGUUGACAAAAAGACAGUUAGUGAAACUGAAAAGACAGAAAAUGACUCUCUUGAUAGGAGGAAAGAUAAAGAGCAUGAUAAGGAGAAGCAGGAAAAGGAAAAAGAACUUCAAAGAUAUGAGCGUGAGCGUGAGCGAGAAAGAGUCAGGAGGGAUAGAGAUAAAGAACUCAAGCAUAGAGAAGUGGAAAGGCUGUACAAAGAUCACCUUAAAGAGUGGGAAUCCAGGGAGAGAGAUAAAGAAUAUCAAAGACAAUAUGAGAAGGACCGUGAGAAGGAAAAAGAACGUGAACGCAAAAGGGAGAUCAUGAAGCAGGAAGAUGAAAGCGACGAAGAGGAUUCGAGGAAAAGAAGACGGAGGAGCAGUAACGCACUUGAAGAGAGGAAAAGGCGGAGGCAACGCGAAAAGCAGGAAGACUUGGCGGACAAAUUAAAAGAGGAACAGGAAAUUGCUGAAGCAAGGAGGCGUGCAAUAGAGCUGCAACAGCAGGCAGAUGAAGCAGCUGCGGCAGAGUCUGCUAUAUUUAUGGAGGUUGAUGGUGAUGACCGGAAGGAAGCAGAUGCACCAAACAAGCCGAUUGUUUCAGAUGAUGAUAAUGUUGUCAGCAUUGCUAAUGGUGUUGAUGCAGAUGAUGGCAAAACUCAUAAGGACUGUAACGGUGAUGAAGCAAGUAUGGUACCUGGUCAAAUUCUAGAUAUCAAACAAAAUAGCAAUGCUCCAGCAAAAAAGUUGGGUUUUGGUUUGAUUGGCUCUGGUAAACGGACAUCUGUUCCAUCAGUUUUUGCUGAAGAGGAUGACGAUGAUAAUAAGGAUAAACGGAUAAGACCUUUAGUACCUAUUGAUUACUCCACUGAGGAAUUGCAAGCUGUGGAGGCGGAUUCUUAUUCUGACCAACCUAAUAAUAUUGUAGCAGCUGCUGAGUUUGCUAAGCGCAUCUUGGUAUCUAAUCAAAAGGAAGAGCAGCCUGAAACCGAAAGGAGUAGGAGAGCCAUUGAUAGAUCGACCCUAAGGGAUAAAAGUCGAAAUGAUGAAGAUGGUGCACGUCUUGGUGAUGACAGAAGAGAAAUGAUGCAUGAUCGAGACGAUGAUAAGCCCAAGUUAGAGAACAAGAAAGUUUUGGAUGCAAAACAAUUGAUUGACAUGAUUCCGAGGACAAAGGAAGAGCUUUUUUCCUAUGAUAUUAAUUGGGCAAUAUAUGAGAAGCAUGAGUUGCAUGAUAGAAUGAGGCCUUGGAUCUCGAAAAAGAUAAUUGAAUUUCUUGGUGAGGAGGAAUCGACUUUGGUGGAAUAUAUUGUCUCGUGCACCAAAGAUCAUGUCCAUGCAUCGAAAAUGCUGGAGCUCCUAUCGUCGAUUUUGGACGUCGAGGCUGAAAUGUUUGUCCUUAAGAUGUGGAGGAUGCUAAUAUUUGAAAUUAAGAAAGUUGAAGCAGGACUAUCAGUAAGAGGGAAGGCUUAA
rnacentral:rRNA from 1 species